UACGAAGGGUGCAAGCGUUGUUCGGAAUCAUUGGGCGUAAAGCGCGUGUAGGCGGUUAACUAAGUCAGUUGUGAAAUCCCUUGGCUCAACCAAGGAAGUGCAUCUGAAACUAGUUAGCUAGAAGAUGGCAGAGGAAGGUGGAAUUCCAAGUGUAGAGGUGAAAUUCGUAGAUAUUUGGAGGAAUACCGGAGGCGAAGGCGACCUUCUGGGCCAUUCUUGACGCUGAGACGCGAAAGCGUGGGUAGCAAACAGG
rnacentral:rRNA from 1 species